GAUGAACGCUGGCGGCGUGCUUAAUACAUGCAAGUCGAGCGAACGGACGUGAAGCCUGUUUCUCUGAUGUUAGUGGCGCACGGGAGCGUGACCCGUGGAUAACCAACCUAUAAGACUGGGACAACUACGGCAAACCGGAGCUAAUACCGGAUAAUAUUAUGAACCCCAUGGUUCAAAAGUAACAGAUGGUCUUGUUGUCACUUCUAGAUGUUACCGCGCCGCAUUAGCUUGUUGGUAAGGUAACGGUUUUCCAAGGCAAGGAUGCAUAGCCGACCAAGGAGAGUGACAGUCCACACUGGAAGUGGAACACGGUCCAGACUGCUACGGGGGGCAGCAGUAGGGAAUCUUGCGCAAAGGGCGAGGGCCUGACGGAGCAACGCGGCAAGGGUGAAGGGAGUCUUCGGGUCGGAAGACUGUGUUAUUAGGGAAGAACAUAUGUGUAAGUAGCAGUACACGUCUUGACGGUACCUAGUCAGUAAGCCACGGCUAACUACGUG
rnacentral:rRNA from 1 species